rfam:Flavobacterium sp. KMS contig004, whole genome shotgun sequence.
CCCUAGCCCUGAUAAUAGCGGAAAUCCUUGUCCUUUUUUCUUUAAAAAAGGCAAGAUUGUAGUAGAUAGCAGGAAAUAGC